rnacentral:rRNA from 1 species
UACGGAGGGUGCAAGCGUUGUCCGGAUUUAUUGGGUUUAAAGGGUGCGUAGGCGGCUCUUUAAGUCAGUGGUGAAAGCCGACAGCUUAACUGUCGAAAUGCCAUUGAUACUGGGGAGCUUGAGUACAGUAGAGGUAGGCGGAAUUAAUGGUGUAGCGGUGAAAUGCAUAGAUACCAUUAAGAACACCGAUUGCGAAGGCAGCUUACUAUAGUGUAACUGACGCUGAGGCACGAAAGUGUGGGAUCAAACAGG